rnacentral:rRNA from 1 species
GUGGGGAAUCUUGCGCAAUGGGCGAAAGCCUGACGCAGCCAUGCCGCGUGAAUGAUGAAGGUCUUAGGAUUGUAAAAUUCUUUCACCGGGGACGAUAAUGACGGUACCCGGAGAAGAAGCCCCGGCUAACUUCGUGCCAGCAGCCGCGGUAAUACGAAGGGGGCUAGCGUUGCUCGGAAUUACUGGGCGUAAAGGGCGCGUAGGCGGAUCGUUAAGUCAGGGGUGAAAUCCCAGAGCUCAACUCUGGAACUGCCCUUGAUACUGGCGAUCUUGAGUGUGAGAGAGGUAUGUGGAACUCCGAGUGUAGAGGUGAAAUUCGUAGAUAUUCGGAAGAACACCAGUGGCGAAGGCGACAUACUGGCUCAUUACUGACGCUGAGGCGCGAAAGCGAGGGGAGCAAAAGGGAUUAGAAACCCCGGUAGUCC